rnacentral:tRNA from 1 species
GGGCCUGUAGCUCAAUGGUAGAGCCGCGGACUUUUAAUCCGUAGGUUGUGGGUUCGAGUCCCACCGGGCCUA